rnacentral:rRNA from 1 species
UACGAAGGGGGCUAGCGUUGUUCGGAUUUACUGGGCGUAAAGCGUGCGCAGGCGGCUUCUCAAGUCAGGGGUGAAAGCCCAGAGCUCAACUCUGGAAUUGCCUUUGAGACUGAGUGGCUUGAGUACGAGAGAGGUGAGUGGAAUUCCCAGUGUAGAGGUGAAAUUCGUAGAUAUUGGGAAGAACACCGGUGGCGAAGGCGGCUCUCUGGACCGACACUGACGCUGAGGCGCGAAAGCGUGGGGAGCAAACAGG